rnacentral:rRNA from 1 species
GAAUAUUGGACAAUGGGCGCAAGCCUGAUCCAGCCAUGCCGCGUGGAUGAUGAAGGCCUUAGGGUUGUAAAGCUCUUUCGGCGGGGCAGAUAAUGACGGUACCCGCAUAAGAAGCCCCGGCUAACUUCGUGCCAGCAGCCGCGGUAAUACGAAGGGGGCUAGCGUUGCUCGGAAUCACUGGGCGUAAAGCGCACGUAGGCGGACUCUUAACUCAGGGGUGAAAUCCUGGAGCUCAACUCCAGAACUGCCUUUGAUACUGGGAGCCUUGAGUUCGGGAGAGGUGAGUGGAACUGCGAGUGUAGAGGUGAAAUUCGUAGAUAUUCGCAAGAACACCAGUGGCGAAGGCGGCUCACUGGCCCGAUACUGACGCUGAGGUGCGAAAGCGUGGGGAGCAAACAGG